rnacentral:rRNA from 1 species
GACGAACCGUGCGAACGUUGUUCGGAAUUAUUGGGCGUAAAGCGCGUGUAGGCGGCUUUGCAAGUCGGGUGUGAAAGCCCUCAGCUCAACUGAGGAAGUGCGCCCGAAACUGCAGAGCUUGAGUACCGGAGAGGAUGGCGGAAUUCCCCAAGUAGAGGUGAAAUUCGUAGAUAUGGGGAGGAACACCGGUGGCGAAGGCGGCCAUCUGGACGGAGUACUGACGCUGAGACGCGAAAGCGUGGGUAGCAAACAGG